GAUGAACGCUGGCGGCGUGCCUUACACAUGCAAGUCGAACGGCAGCACGGACUUCGGUCUGGUGGCGAGUGGCGAACGGGUGAGUAAAGUAUCGGAACGUACCUUUCAGUGGGGGAUAACGUAGCGAAAGUUACGCUAAUACCGCAUAUUCUGUGAGCAGGAAAGCAGGGGAUCGCAAGACCUUGCGCUGAUUGAGCGGCCGAUAUCAGAUUAGCUAGUUGGUGAGGUAAAGGCUCACCAAGGCGACGAUCUGUAGCGGGUCUGAGAGGAUGAUCCGCCACACUGGAACUGAGACACGGUCCAGACUCCUACGGGAGGCAGCAGUGGGGAAUUUUGGACAAUGGGGGCAACCCUGAUCCAGCCAUGCCGCGUGAGUGAAGAAGGCCUUCGGGUUGUAAAGCUCUUUCGGCCGGGAAGAAAUCGUAUCAGCUAAUACCUGGUGCGGAUGACGGUACCGGCAUAAGAAGCACCGGCUAACUACGUGCCAGCCGCCGCCGUAAAAC
rnacentral:rRNA from 1 species